GACGGGUGAGUAACGCGUGAGGAACCUGCCUUGAAGAGGGGGACAACAGUUGGAAACGACUGCUAAUACCGCAUGAUGCAUAGGGGUCGCAUGAUCUUUAUGCCAAAGAUUUAUCGCUUCAAGAUGGCCUCGCGUCUGAUUAGCUGGUUGGCGGGGUAACGGCCCACCAAGGCGACGAUCAGUAGCCGGACUGAGAGGUUGAACGGCCACAUUGGGACUGAGAUACGGCCCAGACUCCUACGGGAGGCAGCAUUGGGGAAUAUUGGGCAAUGGGCGCAAGCCUGACCCAGCAACGCCGCGUGAAGGAAGAAGGCUUUCGGGUUGUAAACUUC
rnacentral:rRNA from 1 species